ACUACGGGAGGCAGCAGUGAGGAAUAUUGGUCAAUGGCCGGAAGGCUGAACCAGCCAAGCCGCGUGAAGGACGAAGGUGCCAAGCAUUGUAAACUUCUUUUGUCAAGGGACAAAAUCAGGCUCGAGAGCCUGACCGAGGGUACUUGAAGAAAAAGCAUCGGCUAACUCCGUGCCAGAAGCCGCGGUAAUACAGAGGAUGCGAGCGUUAUCCGGAUUUAUUGGGUUUAAAGGGUGCGUAGGCGGACUGGUAAGUCAGCGGUAAAAGCCCGGGGCUCAACCCCGGCGAGCCGUUGAAACUGGCUGUCUCGGGAUGUCGAGAGGUAUGCGGAAUGCGCAGUGUAGCGGUGAAAUGCUUAGAUAUUGCGCAGAACUCCGAUUGCGAAGGCAGCAUACCGGCGGCGAUCUGACGCUGAGGCACGAAAGCGUGGGUAUCGAACAGGAUUAGAUACCCUUGUAGUC
rnacentral:rRNA from 1 species